UGCAAGGUGCCGCUUCCGGAUGAGUUCGCGUCCUAUCAGCUAGUUGGCGGGUAACGCCACCAAGGCAAUGACGGGUAGCUGGUCUGAGAGGAUGACCAGCCACACUGGAACUGAGACACGGUCCAGACACCUACGGGUGGCAGCAGUCGAGAAUCAUUCACAAUGGGCGAAAGCCUGAUGGUGUGACGCCGCGUGGAGGAUGAAGGUCUUCGGAUUGUAAAACUCCUGUCAAGUGAGAGUAAAGCCGGGCGUUAACUGCGAGCCGGUUUGAGAGUAUCACUAGAGGAAGAGACGGCUAACUCUGUGCCAGCAGCCGCGGUAAUACAGAGGUCUCAAGCGUUGUUCGGAAUCACUGGGCGUAAAGGGUGCGUAGGCUGCACGGUAAGUCAGAGGUGAAAUCCCGGAGCUCAACUUCGGAAAUGCCUCCGAUACUGCCG
rnacentral:rRNA from 1 species